rnacentral:misc_RNA from 1 species
UCUCCGUAGGUGAACCUGCGGAGGGAUCAUUACAAGAGUGAGGGCCCUCGCGGCCCGAACCUCCAACCCCAUGUUGUCCGACUCUGUUGCCUCGGGGGCGACCCGGCCUUCGGGUGUCGGGGCCCCCGGAGGCCAUUAAACACUGCAUCAUUGCGUCGGAGUUAAAGUAAAUUAAACAAAACUUUCAACAACGGAUCUCUUGGUUCCAGCAUCGAUGAAGAACGCAGC